rnacentral:rRNA from 1 species
AUACGGAGGGUGCAAGCGUUAAUCGGAAUUACUGGGCGUAAAGCGCGCGUAGGCGGAUAUUUAAGUCUCAUGUGAAAGCCCGGGGCUCAACCUGGGAACUGCAUGGGAUACUGGGUAUCUAGAAUACAGUAGAGGGUAGUGGAAUUUCAGGUGUAGCGGUGAAAUGCGUAGAGAUCUGAAGGAACAUCAGUGGCGAAGGCGACUACCUGGACUGAUAUUGACGCUGAGGUGCGAAAGCGUGGGGAGCAAACGGGAUUAGAAACCCUUGUAGUCC